rnacentral:rRNA from 1 species
UACGUAGGGGGCAAGCGUUGUCCGGAUUUAUUGGGCGUAAAGAGCGUGUAGGCGGCCAGGUAGGUCGGUUGUGAAAACUGGAGGCUCAACCUUCAGACGUCGACCCGAAACCCCCUGGCUAGAGUCCGGAAGAGGAGAGUGGAAUUCCUGGUGUAGCGGUGAAAUGCGCAGAGUAUCAGGAAGAACACCCGUGGCGAAGGCGGCUCUCUGGGACGGUACUGACGCUGAGACGCGAAAGCGUGGGGAGCGAACAGG